UAUACGACCGUACCGCAAACCGACACUGGUGCGCGAGAUGAGUAUUCUAAGGCGCUUGAGAGAACUCAGGAGAAGGAACUCGGCAAAUUGACACCGUAACUUCGGAAGAAGGUGUGCCCUAUUAGUGUGUAGUGAGCAACGAAGCAUGAAUGGGUUGCAAAAAAUCGGUGGCUGCGACUGUUUAUUAAAAACACAGCACUCCGCAAACACGAAAGUGGACGUAUAGGGUGUGACGCCUGCCCGGUGCUGGAAGAUUAAAUGAUGGGGUGCAAGCUCUUGAUUGAAGUCCCAGUAAACGGCGGCCGUAACAAUAACGGUCCUAAGGUAGCGAAAUUCCUUGUCGGGUAAGUUCCGACCUGCACGAAUGGCGUAACGAUGGCCACACUGUCUCCUCCUGAGACUCAGCGAAGUUGAAAUGUUUGUGAUGAUGCAAUCUCCCCGCGGAAAGACGGAAAGACCCCAUGAACCUUUACUGUAGCUUUGUAUUGGACUUUGAACAGAUCUGUGUAGGAUAGGUGGGAGGCUUUGAAGCAGGGUCGCUAGAUCUUGUGGAGCCAACGUUGAAAUACCACCCUGGUGUGUUUGAGGUUCUAACCUAGGUCCAUUAUCUGGAUCGGGGACAGUGCAUGGUAGGCAGUUUGACUGGGGCGGUCUCCUCCCAAAGCGUAACGGAGGAGUUCGAAGGUACGCUAGUUACGGUCGGACAUCGUGACGAUAGUGCAAUGGCAUAAGCGUGCUUAACUGCGAGACUGACAAGUCGAGCAGAUGCGAAAGCAGGACAUAGUGAUCCGGUGGUUCUGUAUGGAAGGGCCAUCGCUCAACGGAUAAAAGGUACUCUGGGGAUAACAGGCUGAUACCGCCCAAGAGUUCAUAUCGACGGCGGUGUUUGGCACCUCGAUGUCGGCUCAUCUCAUCCUGGGGCUGUAGCCGGUCCCAAGGGUAUGGCUGUUCGCCAUUUAAAGAGGUACGUGAGCUGGGUUUAAAACGUCGUGAGACAGUUUGGUCCCUAUCUUCCGUGGGCGCUGCAGAUUUGAGGAAGCCUGCUCCUAGUACGAGAGGACCGGAGUGGACACACCUCUGGUGUAUCGGUUGUCACGCCAGUGGCAUUGCCGAGUAGCUAAGUGUGGAAGAGAUAACCGCUGAAAGCAUCUAAGCGGGAAACUCGUUUCAAGAUGAGAUCUGCCGGGGCCUUGAGCCCCCUAAAGAGUCGUUCAAGACCAGGACGUUGAUAGGUCAGGUGUGGAAGC
rnacentral:rRNA from 1 species